AGCGAACGCUGGCGGCAGGCCUAACACAUGCAAGUCGAACGGAUCCUUCGGGAUUAGUGGCGGACGGGUGAGUAACACGUGGGAACGUGCCCUUUGGUUCGGAACAACUCAGGGAAACUUGAGCUAAUACCGGAUGUGCCCUUCGGGGGAAAGAUUUAUCGCCAUUGGAGCGGCCCGCGUCUGAUUAGCUAGUUGGUGGGGUAAAAGCCCACCAAGGGGACGAUCAGUAGCUGGUCUGAGAGGAUGAGCAGCCACAUUGGGACUGAGACGCGGCCCAAACUCCUAAGGGAGGCAGCAGUGGGGAAUGUUGCGCAAUGGGCGAAAGCCUGACGCAGCCAUGCCGCGUGAAUGAUGAAGGUCUUAGGAUUGUAAAAUUCUUUCACCGGGGACGAUAAUGACGGUACCCGGAGAAGAAGCCCCGGCUAACUUCGUGCCAGCCGCCGCCGUAA
rnacentral:rRNA from 1 species